rnacentral:rRNA from 1 species
GACGAACGCUGGCGGCGUGCUUAACACAUGCAAGUCGAACGGAAAGGCCCUGCUUUUGUGGGGUGCUCGAGUGGCGAACGGGUGAGUAACACGUGAGUAACCUGCCCUUGACUUAGGGAUAACUUCAGGAAACUGGGGCUAAUACCGGAUAGGAGCUCCUGCUGCAUGGUGGGGGUUGGAAAGUUUCGGCGGUUGGGGAUGGACUCGCGGCUUAUCAGCUUGUUGGUGGGGUAGUGGCUUACCAAGGCUUUGACGGGUAGCCGGCCUGAGAGGGUGACCGGCAACAUUGGGACUGAGAUACGGCCCAGACUCCUACGGGAGGCAGCAGUGGGGAAUAUUGCACAAUGGGCGGAAGCCUGAUGCAGCAACGCCGCGUGCGGGAUGACGGCCUUCGGGUUGUAAACCGCUUUCGCCUGUGACGAAGCGUGAGUGACGGUAAUGGGUAAAGAAGCACCGGCUAACUACGUG